GGGGAAUUUUGGACAAUGGGCGCAAGCCUGAUCCAGCCAUGCCGCGUGUCUGAAGAAGGCCUUCGGGUUGUAAAGGACUUUUGUUCGGGAGGAAAUCCCGCUGGUUAAUACCUGGCGGGGAUGACAGUACCGGAAGAAUAAGCACCGGCUAACUACGUGCCAGCAGCCGCGGUAAUACGUAGGGUGCAAGCGUUAAUCGGAAUUACUGGGCGUAAAGCGUGCGCAGGCGGUUGUGCAAGUCUGAUGUGAAAGCCCCGGGCUUAACCUGGGAACGGCAUUGGAGACUGCACGACUAGAGUGCGUCAGAGGGGGGUAGAAUUCCACGUGUAGCAGUGAAAUGCGUAGAGAUGUGGAGGAAUACCGAUGGCGAAGGCAGCCCCCUGGGAUGACACUGACGCUCAUGCACGAAAGCGUGGGGAGCAAACAGGA
rnacentral:rRNA from 1 species